rnacentral:rRNA from 1 species
ACUGCGAAUACCGGAGAAUGUUAUCACGGGAGACACACGGCGGGUGCUAACGUCCGUCGUGAAGAGGGAAACAACCCAGACCGCCAGCUAAGGUCCCAAAGUCAUGGUUAAGUGGGAAACGAUGUGGGAAGGCCCAGACAGCCAGGAUGUUGGCUUAGAAGCAGCCAUCAUUUAAAGAAAGCGUAAUAGCUCACUGGUCGAGUCGGCCUGCGCGGAAGAUGUAACGGGGCUAAACCAUGCACCGAAGCUGCGGCAGCGACACUAUGUGUUGUUGGGUAGGGGAGCGUUCUGUAAGCCUGUGAAGGUGGCCUGUGAGGGUUGCUGGAGGUAUCAGAAGUGCGAAUGCUGACAUAAGUAACGAUAAAGCGGGUGAAAAGCCCGCUCGCCGGAAGACCAAGGGUUCCUGUCCAACGUUAAUCGGGGCAGGGUGAGUCGACCCCUAAGGCGAGGCCGAAAGGCGUAGUCGAUGGGAAACAGGUUAAUAUUCCUGUACUUGGUGUUACUGCGAAGGGGGGACGGAGAAGGCUAUGUUGGCCGGGCGACGGUUGUCCCGGUUUAAGCGUGUAGGCUGGUUUUCCAGGCAAAUCCGGAAAACCAAGGCUGAGGCGUGAUGACGAGGCACUACGGUGCUGAAGCGACAAAUGCCCUGCUUCCAGGAAAAGCCUCUAAGCAUCAGGUAACAUCAAAUCGUACCCCAAACCGACACAGGUGGUCAGGUAGAGAAUACCAAGGCGCUUGAGAGAACUCGGGUGAAGGAACUAGGCAAAAUGGUGCCGUAACUUCGGGAGAAGGCACGCUGAUAUGUAGGUGAAGCGACUUGCUCGUGGAGCUGAAAUCAGUCGAAGAUACCAGCUGGCUGCAACUGUUUAUUAAAAACACAGCACUGUGCAAACACGAAAGUGGACGUAUACGGUGUGACGCCUGCCCGGUGCCGGAAG